rnacentral:lncRNA from 10 species
GCGACCCGCCCCUCCCUAGGCCCGAGGACGCGCCCGCAGCAGGCGAACGGCUUCGGGUGCCAGGAGCUCAGCAAGCUGGGGACCCCCUGGGCGAGGAGUACAAAGGACCCCAGGCGAAGCCGGCGCCGGGAGGCAGAGCUGACUCCCGCGGGACUCUACCGGCCUGCGAGCGUUCGUCACGUGCUCGGUGGCUGAGGGGCCGUCCCGGCCGGGCGGGCUUCACCGCGUGGGCGCGGCAGUCGCCACUCACCGAGGUUGACGACCUUGAGCGCCGUGAAGAAGCGGUUCUGCCGGGCCAGGUCCUGCCAGGGAGCCUUGGAGCAGUGGUACUUGAUGAAGGGGAAGCAGCCGGCGUGGGUUCUCACUAUGUUGCUUAAGCUGGUCCAGAACUCAAGCCAGUCUCUCACUUCAGCCUCUUGAGUCGUUGGGAUUACAGAAGCCACCAUGUCCAACUGAUUUUGCUGUGUCACCCAGGCUGGAGUGCCAUGGCAUGAUCAUGGCUCACUGCAGCCUCUACCUCCCAGGCUCAAGAGCUCCUCCCAGCUCAGCCUCCCAAGUAGCUGGGACUACAGACGCAUACCACUAUGCCCAGCUAAUUUUUUGUAUUUUGUAUUUUUUGUAGAGACAUGGUCUCACUUUGUUUUGCAGGCUGAUCUUGAACUCCUGGGCUCAAGCGAUCCUCCCACCUCGGCCUCCCAAUGUGUUGGGAUUACAGGCGUGAGUUGCGGCGCCCAGCUGAUAUGUAUACUUUUCUAUAGGUAUAUUACACUUCAAUAAAAAGUUUGAAACAGAA